CAGAGUGAGACCCUGUCAAAAAAAAAAAAAAUCGUAGUCUUCACUCAGAUCCCUGAAACUGCAAGUCUAGGCUGGAAAAAGAAGGCAUUCACACCUCGGAACUCUUUUUCUCUAAGAAAUAGAAAAUAAAUCAUUGAUUCAUUACGUCAUUCUUUUGGUCACUAUUUUCUGAGCACCUACAAAAUACCCUGGCACAACAGGCACCAUCCUUGUCCUCCUGGAACUUAAAGGCUGGGAGUGUGGCAGGUGUUAAUCAAAUGCCUGUACAAGUAAAUGCAAAAUUGCAACUGUGAUAGGUGCUAUGUCAAAUUACAUGGUUUGAUAAGAGUUUAUAGUAAAAAGAAUUGGCCUACUCAGGUGUCAGCAAAGCUUUCCUCUCUGAAUAGGUCAAUUCCCCCCACUAUAAACUCUUAUCAGCACAAGUCAAACCCUUAUUGGCACACAGAGAACUUGUCAUUGAUGAAGUGGCAUAAUUUCAAUUCACAGGUUGGAGUCAACGAGUAGAGAAAGACAGGAAGAAGGCUUGGUAUAUGCAAAGGCCCUGUGGAAGCAGGGAGUACUGGAAGUCCUUGGAUCAAAAGACAGUCAAUGUGACCGGAGCAAAAGAGUGAGGUGGAGAGUGACGAAAGAUCAACCUGGAGAAGUUAGUAGAACCAGACAAGAAAGUAGACUUUAGCCACAGCCUGGAGAAUGGACCAGAGGAAUCCAGAGGGGACAAAAUAGGGAAGACGUAUUCUGAAGAACACCGAGACAAACUGUGAUAAGAGCUCAUCAGCCCAGGAUUUGGGUGAGGACUGACAAAAGAUAUGAGAGAAAAGUGGAGGGUAGAAGGCGAUGUAAGCAUAUCUGUACCAGUUGAGACAUCUGUAUAGAGCAAAGGUACUAAAGCAAGCAGACCUCAAGUUGGCCAUACAUCAAUGGUGUUCAGGAGACACAGAAGGAAAGCGUCGGUGGCACCCUGAAACGGAAUCCAUCAUCCACAAUCAUGUGGACCAUCCAUGACUGUUCCAUCAGGAGAAACACAAAGAUCUCUUCCUGCCUUCCCAAGGUGAGCACAAAGUCAUGACUGCUAUGGUUUGGCUGUUUUUGGCUCCAAACCAUGGCAGUCCUGACCUCCGAAAUGCAUGUUGGAACUGAAUCCCCUGUGCAUCAGUGUUGGGAGGUGGGGCCUGUGGGAAGUUGUUUGGGUCCUGAGGCUCUGCCCUCAUGAAUGAACUAAUGCCACUAUAAAUAGUGCUCGUGAGCGUGGGUUUGCUCUUCCACUUUUCCGCCACGUGAGGACCUGGAGUUUCUCCCCUCCAGAAGAUGCAGCAUUGGAGACACCAUCUUGGCAGCAGAGAGACAGGGCCCUAAGCUGCCAGUGCCUUAAUCCUGGACUUCCCAGCCUCCAGAACUGUGAGAGAAUAAAUAUCUAUUCUUUAUAAGUUACCCGGUCUCAACUAUUCUCUUACAGCAGCACAAAAUGAACUAAGAAAAUUACAUUGACGUGUGACCAAUUAGCAGUCAUUGGAAUAAAAGCAAGCAUAAACAGAUCACAUAACAUAAAAUAUUUACAGCGUGACUUUGGGCAAGUCACUUAGCUGCUCUAUAAUUUCAUUUCCUUACUGGGCAUCAUUUUCUCAUGGAAAAGUAAUGCAAGUCAUAUAACAUAAUUUUAAAUUUUCUACU